AGCCGGAGAGGAGGGCGUGGCUUCCGACAUUCCGCGGGGUCUUUACCUCUUGCUCCCGCCAGAGUUUGGGAUCGGUCUCUUCUGUUCCGCGUCCUCCACCUCGGUAGCCCCUGGUGACUCUGUUACAGCCUCUGUUGACCUAUGAUCUGCAGGGAGACGCACAGCCAGGACAUCCUGGAACCUGGGAAAGGGUGUGAUUUUGGCACACACUUCUGCCCAGCACCUUAGUAAUGUAAUUCUUCAGAAUUGGCCCAGCCUACAAAUAGGAUUGUGCCACACUGCUGGACCCAGC
rnacentral:lncRNA from 1 species